rnacentral:lncRNA from 1 species
AGACCUGAGGGUCAGGGCUAUCUGAUUCAUCUUCGUUUUCCCUAGAGGAAAUAACGCAGCCCUUGAUGCAUGAGGGGCAGACAGUAUAACUAAUAAAAUAAACAGAGUUCAAAGCAUGAUGUAUACUCUACACUGAUUCUGAAAGCAGGGCGGUUUGAAGUUUUCAGUAUGCCAAUUUGUUAUAUUUGACAUAACUGAUAACCAGUCUUUAAUUGAUGGCUCCUGUUUCUCUGAAGAGUUCUGGAUGUGGGAACAAUUCAGCUUUUUCCCACUUCUCAGCCAUACCAUCGUCAGUCACCUCAGAAUGUUUAAUUCUUUGGCAGACGGAACUGGUGAGGUGGCCCCCAUUACCGCCUUUCUUGACGUCAGUGAGGGAGUUGUUCCCUGUGGCUGUCUUAUGUGAAAUAAUUCAGCAUUUGUACUUCAAUUAAAUUCAUAGGUAUAUAUUAUUAAAUGGUACUGAC